GGUCCCAUCGUCUAGUGGCCUAGGACAUCGCCCUCUCACGGCGGUAACACGAGUUCGAAUCUCGUUGGGAUCACCA
rnacentral:tRNA from 1 species